ensembl:snRNA U2 U2 spliceosomal RNA
AUCGCUUCUCUGCCUUUUGGCUAAGAUCAAGUGUAGUAUCUGUUCUUAUCAGUUUAAUAUCUGAUGCAUCCUCUAUAUGAGGACUACAUAUUAAAUUGAUUUUUAGAACAGGGAGACGGAAGAGGGGCUUGCUCCAUCCGCUCCACGCAUCGACCUGGUAUUGCAGUACCUCCGUAAAUACAUGGGCAGUCAUG